CCUAACGAUCGUUUAGUAGCUUCAACAAUGGUAGGUAUCAAGCUGUUGAUUCUUUCAGUCUGCUCCCUCUCGAACUCUAUUCGGGCUAGACCAACGGCUGAAGAGAUAAUUUCGCGCAUGCCAAUACUCAUAGUCGGGUUUGCUGGAGGCACUGGGACGUUGAGACCAGUGAGUGGGCUAAAAGUUGGAGAUGAUACAUGACCUUGCGAGGUGAAUGUGCUAUUCAAUAGCCGUGACAAAUCGUCCAUGCCUUGUGGUAGUGGUGGAGCGACGGAUGAACGCGCAGAUGCGAUCGGCGCAUUGCUGGCUGCCAUUGUGGUUGUUGUUGUUGUGGUAGUGAAAGUCACAGCUGGUUGGGUUGUGCUCACCGGAAAAUUCUGAGAAGUUCCUGGCUGCAUCCUGGAAUGGCCAGAAUCUUCCCUAUUUGCUGAACGAGUGUUAACCAUUAGAGUAAUAUAUCUGCCAAAAUAAAAAAAUAAAUGCCAAAAUCGAAAUGUAAAGUGACUAACAGCCAAAACUGAAAAAAAGGAAAAAUAUACCGCCGAAAAGGAAAACUCCUUUAUGACUGGAAAUGCUGAAUGUAUAGCCAAAAGGAAAACCCUUUGCGGGUAAGAAGCUGAAAGUUCGUAAAAUAAAGAAAACUCCAAAAAUAAAAAAAAUGAAGUGUCAAACUUUAAAUGACAGAAACUAAUAAGAAAAACAAAAUUCUCUAAAUAAAAAAAACAGAAUGCGUAAAAAAAAAGAUUUGGUACCUCGAGAUAUGAGAUAGAUAACUUCCUGCUACUAAGGGAAUAAAUCUACCAAAGCAAAAACAGAAGAAAAAAAAAAGACUACAAAUUCAUGUAAUGGAUCGGUGGUAGGUAACAAACUAUCAAAAAGGUAAGUAAAGGUAAAAUGAUGUACGUAUCGUAUAGUGCCAGUGUAUGCAUGUUCUAAUAUAGGUAUUUAUUUUGAUUCCAGGGUUUCGUGAGUGUAAACGCAAAAACAAAAAACGAUGAAACAUGGAAAGAUAGCUACAAUGGACAACACGUGGAAACAUAAAUCUUUGUCUGGCCUUACAGCCCAUGGACUAUGCCACGAAUGCGUACGAAGACGAAGAAGAAUGUGUAUCCCGUGAUAAAAAAAGGCUUCCUUUUAGGUUGGACAAGUGGCUACGGGGUCAAGGAACCCCAAUCUAAAGUCUAGGACCUACCUAAGAUAAGAGCUCAUAUCCUAGCGCCUAUUUUGUUCCCUAUAUCUGGGACGAGAUUACCGUAAAGAGCACUCCCUUGUCUAACCGAACAUCGUCCGUCAGUGUCCUAGUCCUGGAUAUACCGCUGCAACCAGGAGGGCUGCAGAAUGCUGGAUCUCCCACGCUGGACUGGAGCGGUGCUGGUGGCUGACGGUGGGAACGAUGAGUUCGUGACUUUUACUGAUAUUUUGCGUGCUUAGCGCUUUCGUUGUGAUUCUGCUGGCAGGUUCAUAUGCUUCGUGUGUAUUUUAGGUGUUGGUUUACGAGCGUUUACAGCCUUCGAAAUUGUUCACAGGUUUGAUAAUUGAAACAAGGAAAAAAAUGUUCACCGUGUUUAAAUAAACGCUACUGCCAUCUAUUAAUAAAAAAAAAUGCACUUUCCCACCAUCGAUGGUGAAGGGGUUUUUCUGCUUCAAAAGCGUUCAAAUUGA